UUGCUGCGCGGCCAUGGAGGCUGUGCUGUGCGCGGGGCACGGGUGUCUCUGCGUCCUGAAGACGGGCGUCCGCGAGGGCCCCAACCGGGGCAAGAGCUUCUACGUGUGCGGGGCGCAGGGCACGGCGGCCUGCGGCUUCGUCCUGCCCGCGCCUAUUCCUGCUUCUCAUUGUUUAAUCCAUGAGGGUAACGUGGUGGAGCUGCAAGUCCUGGUCCAGCAGCAGGACAAAGAUGAAUACAAGCUAUUUUAUCGAUGCCUUAAAAGUAAGUUGAACGGGAAGAAAUGGUGUGGAAGCAUCCCGUGGCAGGAUCCAAAAGCUACCAAAGCACCAAAACAUGUAGAAUCUGGCCUUACCUCAGUACUUCCUUUCAAUCCUAGUGGCCAACGAAAUCCAUUCAAAGUGAUAGACAAGAACUGUGAGCCGUCAUCCUGGGUACAAGUUAAACAAGGCAGCGGAGAGGAAAGCAGAGCAAAAGAAAGGAAACCAGAGAAAGAGAGAGUAAUGGUGUCAGAUAAAGAAAAGAAAUCAUCCUUGGACUCCUCCACAGAGAGCAAGCCUCCAGAAGGACUGGAAGCUAAACAGAAACAAUCCAAGGGAAAUAAGAAUGACGCAGAACUUAAGGAAAGCUUGGUGUCCGAAUCUAAAGGUAGUCUGUCUGAGACUUGGAGAGCGAAAAAGGUCCCUUGGGAUGAAGAGAAACAUGGUGACAGUAACAGGGAGUCUAAGAAGUCUUCUGAGUUCCUGGAGAAAGAGACAGGUGGAAAAUCCAAGUGCUUUUCACCAAAUCUUCGAAAUCAAAGCACAAGUGUCGAGCGUCCAAAUGAGGGGCAGCUCAGAGAGAAAAACUUAAAAAGCUGUGGGGAUAAAGAAACGAAAGAAAAGGAAUGUGCUGCUGGCAAGGACCAAGACGUGAAGAAGGGAGGAGCAGGGGUGGAGGCAGCACCAGCCCAUAUAAAAAUGAGGCCAGAGCUGGGACAAGCAUCUCGUGAUGACAGUGAUGAAGCAGUACUUGUUUCUUCCACAUCAGAUGAAGGGAAAUCUCAGAAACUGGUGCUGGGUUUGCAGCCAGGAGAGGCACUGCCAGGAGCUUCAGGGAUGAGUGAUCAGAGAGCAGCUCUGCCCAGAGCUGCAGCAUCACUUUGCCCAGAAGGACCCCAGGAUCCUAAAGCUCUUCACAACCAUCUCGUGGUGCAGCUGAGGCAAAAGAAGAGUACACUGGCUACAGUGAAUGUGCAGCUCCUGCCAGAUAAAGGAGAACGGUUAUUAAAGCAAGUGCAGGAUUUGGAAGCUGCACUCAGUGCUCUUAACAUUUCACCAGGAGACAGUACAGAAAAAGGGGAGGAUAAUGCAAGGAGUGGCUCUCCCAAGGAACCUUCACCUGACGCCCUUGGCAGACCAGGUGGCACAAAGCUCAUAACACCACUUCCGCGCUGGCAUCCGACAGCAGAGAUCUCUUUGGGCUCGGACAGACAACCUGCUACUGCUGCUGCUUUGGGCUCCAGUGAAUAUCGCRAUCAUUGUUUUGGAAUGAACUCUGGCGUGCAGAGUCUGUAUGGAGGCAGAAUGACAGAAGACCGAAUCAGAGCUGUACACAAUGCUACAAGUGAUGCUAUUAAUCAUCUUCACAAGUCUCUGGAGUCCUGUCCCACAGAGCAGACAGUGGCUGAGGAUCCCCCUGGGUUGAAGGUUCCACUGCUGCUGCACCAAAAGCAAGCGCUCGCAUGGCUGCUUUGGAGGGAGAGCCAGAGCCCAUGUGGAGGAAUUCUAGCGGAUGACAUGGGCUUGGGGAAGACUCUGACAAUGAUUGCUCUCAUUUUGGUUCAGAAGAAGCUGGAGACAGGGAAAAAGAAGGAGACGUUAGAAAUAUGGCUAUCCAAAAAUGAUUCCACUGUAAUCUCUUCCCACGGCACUUUAAUAGUCUGUCCUGCAUCCUUGAUCCACCACUGGAAGAAAGAGAUUGACAGACAUGUAGGCUAUGGCAAACUGAGGGUUUAUCUGUACCAUGGGCCAAACAGGGAUAAACAUGCAGAGGCGCUCUCUGAAUACGAUGUUGUCGUCACAACCUAUAGCAUACUCUCCAAAGAGGUUCCCACAACCAAAGAGGAGGGGGAAGUCCCUGCCGAGGACUAUGAUGUGCAGAAUGGAUCACGUCCCUGUUCCCCUCUGCUCAGGGUAGCUUGGGCUCGAGUUCUUUUGGAUGAAGCUCACAAUAUUAAAAACCCAAAGGUUCAGACCUCUAUAGCUGUGUGCAAGCUGAGAGCUGCUGCGAGGUGGGCUGUGACCGGGACCCCGAUACAGAACAACCUGUUGGACAUGUACUCUCUGCUGAGGUUUCUGCGCUGCUCUCCUUUUGACGAAUACAAGAUGUGGAAGUUCCAGGUAGAUAACAAUACACGGAAGGGAGGAGAGAGACUCAGCCUGUUAACCAGGAGCCUCUUAUUACGGAGAACUAAGGACCAGCUAGAUUCAGCUGGCAAGCCCUUGGUGUCUCUACCACAGCGUAGCACUCGAUUGCAUCAGUUAAAACUUUCGGCGGAGGAGCAAUCCGUGUACAACGUGCUCUUUGCGAGAUCCAGGUCAACACUACAGUCCUAUCUAAAACGACAAGAGCAGAAGAAUCAGGACCGAGAGUACUCUGGUGGGAACCCAUUUGAGAGAGUUGCACGAGAGUUUGGAGCCAGUCAAAAGGAUCUUGCAGCAGGCACCCAAGGUGUCUCCCAGGUGUCAAGCACCGUUCACGUCCUCUCUAUGCUUUUGAGACUUCGUCAGUGCUGCUGUCACCUCUCCUUACUGAAAAUGGCUUUGGACCAAGCUAAUUUGACCAGUGAAGGCCUUUCCCUCUCCCUUGAGGAACAACUAAGUGCUCUGACCCUAUCUGAGCUCCAAACUGCCGAUUCCAAGACAACUGUCUACCUCAAUGGCACAGCUUUUAAAGUGGAUCUGUUUGAAAUCACCAGGGAGAGCACCAAGAUAACCCACCUCUUGGCUGAACUGAAAACCAUCCAGAGUCACCCAGAAUCUCAGAAAAGCGUUAUUGUGUCUCAGUGGACAAGCAUGCUGAAGGUCGUAGCCGUGCACCUGCAGCGCCUAGGUCUCAAGUACGUGACAGUGGAUGGGUCUGUCAAUCCCAAGCAAAGAAUGGACGUGGUGGAAGAGUUCAAUAACAAUCCCAAAGGGCCCCAGGUAAUGUUGGUCUCCUUGCUGGCUGGAGGCGUUGGUCUGAACUUGACUGGAGGAAACCACCUCUUUCUCCUUGACAUGCACUGGAACCCUGCUCUCGAGGACCAGGCAUGUGACCGCAUUUACCGCGUGGGGCAGAAGAGGGAUGUUGUGAUCCACAGGUUUGUCUGUGAAGGAACGGUGGAAGAAAAGAUAGUACAGCUCCAGACCAGGAAGAAAGAUCUGGCGGCGCAGGUGCUGUCAGGCAAAGGAGAGUCCUUCUCUCAGCUGACUCUGGCUGACCUCAAAAUUCUCUUUGGCAUCUAAUUGGUACCUCCGAGAACCUGAAGAGGCUUCAGCAAAGAUCUGCUCUUUCAGGAUAGGAGAGAAACAGGCGUAAGAGAAGUGAGGAAGUGAGAGAUGAGCAUGAGGU